UACGGAGGAUCCAAGCGUUAUCCGGAUUUAUUGGGUUUAAAGGGUGCGUAGGCGGCCUGUUAAGUCAGAGGUGAAAGACGGUAGCUCAACUAUCGCAGUGCCUUUGAUACUGACGGGCUUGAAUGGACUAGAGGUAGGCGGAAUGAGACAAGUAGCGGUGAAAUGCAUAGAUAUGUCUCAGAACACCGAUUGCGAAGGCAGCUUACUAUGGUCCUAUUGACGCUGAGGCACGAAAGCGUGGGGAUCAAAC
rnacentral:rRNA from 1 species